rnacentral:rRNA from 1 species
CAAGUCGAGCGAACGGAUAAGGAGCUUGCUCCUUUGAAGUUAGCGGCGGACGGGUGAGUAACACGUGGGUAACCUACCUAUAAGACUGGAAUAACUUCGGGAAACCGGAGCUAAUGCCGGAUAACAUAUAGAACCGCAUGGUUCUAUAGUGAAAGAUGGUUUUGCUAUCACUUAUAGAUGGACCCGCGCCGUAUUAGCUAGUUGGUAAGGUAAUGGCUUACCAAGGCGACGAUACGUAGCCGACCUGAGAGGGUGAUCGGCCACACUGGAACUGAGACACGGUCCAGACUCCUACGGGAGGCAGCAGUAGGGAAUCUUCCGCAAUGGGCGAAAGCCUGACGGAGCAACGCCGCGUGAGUGAUGAAGGUUUUCGGAUCGUAAAACUCUGUUAUUAGGGAAGAACAAAUGCGUAAGUAACUGUGCGCAUCUUGACGGUACCUAAUCAGAAAGCCACGGCUAACUACGUGCCAGCAGCCGCGGUAAUACGUAGGUGGCAAGCGUUAUCCGGAAUUAUUGGGCGUAAAGCGCGCGUAGGCGGUUUCUUAAGUCUGAUGUGAAAGCCCACGGCUCAACCGUGGAGGGUCAUUGGAAACUGGGAAACUUGAGUGCAGAAGAGGAAAGUGGAAUUCCAUGUGUAGCGGUGAAAUGCGCAGAGAUAUGGAGGAACACCAGUGGCGAAGGCGACUUUCUGGUCUGUAACUGACGCUGAUGUGCGAAAGCGUGGGGAUCAAACAGGAUUAGAUACCCUGGUAGUCCACGCCGUAAACGAUGAGUGCUAAGUGUUAGGGGGUUUCCGCCCCU